rnacentral:rRNA from 1 species
UACGUAGGGGGCAAGCGUUGUCCGGAUUUAUUGGGCGUAAAGAGCGUGUAGGCGGCCUUACAGGUCAGCUGUGAAAACUCGAGGCUCAACCUCGAGACGUCGGCGGAAACCAUCUGGCUAGAGUCCGGAAGAGGAGAGUGGAAUUCAUGGUGUAGCAGUGAAAUGCGUAGAGAUCAUGAGGAAGACCAGUGGCGAAGGCGGGUCUCUGGACAGUUCCUGACGCUGAGGCACGAAGGCCAGGGGAGCAAACGGG